AGUCGAGGGGUACAUUGGUGCUUGCACCAGAUGACGACCGGCGCACGGGUGCGUAACGCGUAUAGAACCUACCUUUUACAGGGGAAUAGCCUUUAGAAAUGAAGAUUAAUGCCCCAUAGUAUUACGACUUGGCAUCAAGUUGUAUUUAAAGAUUUAUCGGUAAAAGAUGGCUAUGCGUCCUAUUAGUUAGUUGGUAAGGUAACGGCUUACCAAGACAUCGAUAGGUAGGGGUCCUGAGAGGGAGAUCCCCCACACUGGUACUGAGACACGGACCAGACUCCUACGGGAGGCAGCAGUGUGGAAUAUUGGACAAUGGAGGCAACUCUGAUCCAGCCAUGCCGCGUGCAGGAAGACGGCCCUAUGGGUUGUAAACUGCUUUUAUACAGGAAGAAACAUCCCGACGUGUCGGGACUUGACGGUACUGUAAGAAUAAGGACCGGCUAACUCCGUGCCAGCAGCCGCGGUAAUACGGAGGGUCCGAGCGUUAUCCGGAAUCAUUGGGUUUAAAGGGUCCGCAGGCGGUCAAUUAAGUCAGAGGUGAAAUCCCAUAGCUUAACUAUGGAACUGCCUUUGAUACUGGUUGACUUGAGUCAUAUGGAAGUAGAUAGAAUGUGUAGUGUAGCGGUGAAAUGCAUAGAUAUUACACAGAAUACCGAUUGCGAAGGCAGUCUACUACGUAUGUACUGACGCUCAUGGACGAAAGCGUGGGGAGCGAACAGGAUUAGAUACCCUGGUAGUCCACGCCGUAAACGAUGGAUACUAGUUGUUGGGAUUUAUCUCAGUGACUAAGCGAAAGUGAUAAGUAUCCCACCUGGGGAGUACGGUCGCAAGACUGAAA
rnacentral:rRNA from 1 species